AGAGGUCUCAAGCGUUGUUCGGAAUCACUGGGCGUAAAGGGUGCGCAGGCGGCGCGGAAAGUCAGAUGUGAAAUCCGGAGGCUCAACCUCCGAAUAGCAUCCGAUACUUCCGCGCUAGAGAGUUGUAGGGGAGCUUGGAAUUCUCGGUGUAGCAGUGAAAUGCGUAGAUAUCGAGAAGAACACUCGCGGCGAAGGCGAAGCUCUGGGCAACAUCUGACGCUCAUGCACGAAGGCUAGGGGAGCAAACGGGAUUAGAUACCCCGGUAGUCCUAGCUGUAAACGGUGCGCGCUUGGUGUGGCGGGUUUCGACCCCUGCCGUGCCGAAGCUAACGCGUUAAGCGCGCCGCCUGGGAAGUACGAUCGCAAGAUUA
rnacentral:rRNA from 1 species